CGGUACCUACGGGGGGCAGCAGUCGGGAAUAUUGCACAAUGGAGGAAACUCUGAUGCAGUGACACCGCGUAUAGGAAGAAGGUUUUCGGAUUGUAAACUAUUUUAGACAGGGAAGAAAAAAGACAGUACCUGUAGAAUAAGCUCCGGCUAACUACGUGCCAGCAGCCGCGGUAAUACGGAGGAUCCGAGCGUUAUCCGGAUUUAUUGGGUUUAAAGGGUGCGUAGGCGGUUUGAUAAGUUAGAGGUGAAAUGUCGGGGCUCAACCCCGAAACUGCCUCUAAUACUGUUGGACUAGAGAAUAGUUG
rnacentral:rRNA from 1 species